UGGGGAAUAUUGCGCAAUGGGCGAAAGCCUGACGCAGCAACGCCGCGUGGGGGAUGAAGGUUCUCGGAUUGUAAACCCCUUUCGAUCGGAACGAAUCCCCUUCUGGUAAAUAAUCAGAAGGAUCGACGGUACCGAGAGAAGAAGCCACGGCUAACUCUGUGCCAGCAGCCGCGGUAAGACAGAGGUGGCUAGCGUUGUUCGGAUUUAUUGGGCGUAAAGCGCACGCAGGCGGUUUGGUAAGUCAGAGGUGAAAGACCACAGCUUAACUGUGGCAUUGCCUUUGAUACUGCCUUUCUUGAGUAGAGUAGGGGGAAGCGGAAUUCCGAGUGUAGAGGUGAAAUUCGUAGAUAUUCGGAGGAACACCGGUGGCGAAGGCGGCUUCCUGGACUCUAACUGACGCUCAGGUGCGAAAGCGUGGGGAGCAAACAGG
rnacentral:rRNA from 1 species